ensembl:snRNA
GUUUACUUAAUAGCUAGAGAGGUUAGCACCCCCUUUGACAAGGAUGGAAGAGUCCCUCAGGCCUGACAAAUAAAAUAAAAAAAUAGCUGU